rnacentral:misc_RNA from 1 species
ACAAACUUGGUCAUUUAGAGGAAGUAAAAGUCGUAACAAGGUUUCCGUAGGUGAACCUGCGGAAGGAUCAUUACCGAGUGUUAGGGUUCCCCUUUUUCGCGGGCCCGACCUCCAACCCUGUGUCUACCUCACCUUUUGUUGCUUCGGCGGGCCCGCGAUGGCCUUCCCAGGCCUUCGCCGCCGGGGGUUCUCUGAACCCCGGGCCAGUGCCCGCCGAACGCCCCAACCACAAACUCUUGUUAAAACCAUGUGUCGUCUGAACUAGUCAAAUAAUUACAAAAUUGACCAAAACUUUCAACAACGGAUCUCUUGGUUCUGGCAUCGAUGAAGAACGCAGC